rnacentral:miRNA from 1 species
GUUAAGUUUUAAUUUCAGAAAAAAAUGACAAGUUAAUUUUUUAGGAUAAGUAUGCCUCAGGCAAUCUUUGGGAUAUACUUAUACUAAAAAUAAUUCAUUGUUUAUUUGAAAUUCAAAGGGAACU